rnacentral:rRNA from 1 species
UACGGAGGAUGCGAGCGUUAUCCGGAUUUAUUGGGUUUAAAGGGUGCGUAGGCGGGCUGUUAAGUCAGCGGUAAAAUUUGGAGGCUCAACCUCCACGAGCCGUUGAAACUGGCAGUCUCGAGUUGGAGAGAAGUAUGCGGAAUGCGCGGUGUAGCGGUGAAAUGCAUAGAUAUCGCGCAGAACUCCGAUUGCGAAGGCAGCGUGCCGUGCCGCCACUGACGCUGAGGCACGAAAGCGCGGGGAUCGAACAGG